CGGGAGGCAGCAGUAGGGAAUCUUCGGCAAUGGACGAAAGUCUGACCGAGCAACGCCGCGUGAGUGAAGAAGGUUUUCGGAUCGUAAAACUCUGUUGUUAGAGAAGAACAAGGAUGAGAGUAACUGUUCAUCCCUUGACGGUAUCUAACCAGAAAGCCACGGCUAACUACGUGCCAGCAGCCGCGGUAAUACGUAGGUGGCAAGCGUUGUCCGGAUUUAUUGGGCGUAAAGCGAGCGCAGGCGGUUUCUUAAGUCUGAUGUGAAAGCCCCCGGCUCAACCGGGGAGGGUCAUUGGAAACUGGGAGACUUGAGUGCAGAAGAGGAGAGUGGAAUUCCAUGUGUAGCGGUGAAAUGCGUAGAUAUAUGGAGGAACACCAGUGGCGAAGGCGGCUCUCUGGUCUGUAACUGACGCUGAGGCUCGAAAGCGUGGGGAGCAAACAGGAUUAGAUACCCUGGUAGUCCACGCCGC
rnacentral:rRNA from 1 species